AAUCAACGCUGGCGGCGUGCCUCAGACAUGCAAGUCGAGCGAGAAAGUUCCCUUCGGGGAAUGAGUAAAGUGGCGCACGGGUGAGUAACACGUAGGUAAUCUACCUUCGGGUGGGGAAUAACCCAGGGAAACUUGGGCUAACACCGCAUAAUGCAGCGGCACUACAUGGUGACAGUUGUUAAAGCGGGGGAUUUUAGGACCUCGCGCCUGAAGAGGAGCCUGCGGCGGAUAGCUAGUUGGUAAGGUAACGGCUUACCAAGGCGACGAUCCGUAACCGGCCUGAGAGGGCGGUCGGUCACACUGACACUGACAUACGGGUCAGACUCCUAACGGGAGGCAGCAGUCGGGAAUUUUGGGCAAUGGGCGAAAGCCUGACCCAGCAACG
rnacentral:rRNA from 1 species